UCGAAGAAGAAGUCCUUCUCUAUGGCAAACAAUCCACCCGCCAUAGCUGGAGACCUAAGGAAGGACACUGCAUGUGAUGACUGUUAGACACAACGCCCUGGCACCCCGUCACCAACAGACAGACAGCCUUUGGGAACACAGUGUAAGGAUGCACAGAAGACGCGAGACUGAUGGCCAAACAUUAAGAAACUGUAAAACCUUCACAAAGGAACGUGCUCAAUCCCUGGGCGAAUUUACCAAAACUUCUGAAAACCAUGUGGACAUUGCCUGCUGACUUCUCCCUCAGUGAUUUAACUGCGGGACAAACCAAGGUUGGCAUCUUUGCCUUCUAGGUGACAUGUGAGCCCAAACCGGUCAGCAGCAGGUUCCGGGACUAUUCUGAACCUUACGAUUUUGAAUGACAAUUUGGAAGACGCCCAGGAAAAGCUUGGUCAUUUCCUCAUGUUUGCCAUCCAGCGUCCUGAUCACAACAUACCCAAACCCACAACACGGAAGCACUGCUCCAAAUGAGUUCUGACAUUCUGAGCACCGUGACUGGGACAGACAGACUGGAAGCAGAACCACGGGAGAGGAACAGACAAUAGACAGACAGACAGACAGGAAACACUUGUGGACAUGGGCUACAUGUCCACACAUUUCAUUUGGGGGCCACUUUUUUCUUUUUGAAAGCCUGUAAAAUGUUUCAAUUAGAAGAUCAAAAGGAGAUCGUGAAGUCGAUCAUUCUGUUUGAAGAGCCACAAGCCAACAUGGGGAUGGAGCUUUCUGUUAAUCAAGCAAUCUUUUGAGAACCAAGCAACAAAGGAUUCUAUG